rnacentral:rRNA from 1 species
UACGUAGGGAGCAAGCGUUGUCCGGAAUCAUUGGGCGUAAAGAGCGCGUAGGUGGCUGCAUAAGUCCGUUGUGAAAGUCAAAGGCUCAACCUUUGAAAGCCGAUGGAUACUGUGGAGCUAGAGUACGGAAGAGGCGAGUGGAAUUCCUGGUGUAGCGGUGGAAUGCGCAGAUAUCAGGAGGAACACCAAUAGCGAAGGCAGCUCGCUGGGACGUUACUGACGCUGAGACGCGAAAGCGUGGGGAGCAAACAGG